ACACAGUGAGAUUGGGUAAGGUUAGAGGGAGGAGAAGAUACUAUGAAUAUGCAAUAGGCUGCUAGGUCGGAAAGGUGGGCAAUUGGCUGGUGGGAGAAGGGAACCUCCCUCCUUCCCCAAUGUGAAGUCAAAGCUUCAGAAGGAAGCCUCUUCUAAAGAUGAUGCACAAGAAAUACAGUAAACAGUUUGCUGAAGACAAGCAGACUAAGAAUAUGGAUUACUGGAACCAUGUCCUGUGGUCCAAUGAGAUCAAGAUAAACUUAUCUGGUUCCGUGGGUGUCAAGCGUGUGUGGCAGCAACCAGGAGCCAGAAAUUUGCGAUCAGCACACGGUGAAAGUGAUAGUGGAGGCUGUUUCUGAACAAACCAAAAAAAGGAGCCAGCAGAGAGAUGGCCUAAUGUUGCCAUGUCACCCUUUCUCACACCUACAAACCAAGGUCUCCUAAUGACGGUGGUAGUAAUGAAUAGAAAAUUGCAUCUAAUUCUGGGCAGCAAAUUACCAUUUUAAGUUUUUGUGUGCUUUCCAGAAAUGUUAUUUGCAGUUUGUAGUUGACAAUUCUGAAGAUUAAAACAUUAAAGGGGUAUUCCAGGAAAAACUUUUAUAUAUAUCAACUGGCUCC